rnacentral:lncRNA from 1 species
GUAGUUAGUAAUUUUUAGAAAAAUAGCAAAUAUACAACCCGGCAAUAAUAAUACCAGUUUGGCAGAUGUAUCCAUAUCUAAAUAUAUAGAAACAAUCCCCUCCAAGCAAUACAAAGGAAGUUAUUGCUUUAUUUUUUUAUAAUAGGGAAAAAUUUUAAGGGAAUAAAAUAAAUGCCUGGGAUCUAAAACAAAAUAACGAAGGAACAAGAAUUGCAGAAAGAAUCGUAGAGGGGAAUUAAAAUUGUGUUUUAUGCCCAGACUUCAUAUUUUUUCCCUAACAAAAAAAAAAUGCUCUAAUAAUUUGUGCUCUGGUAAUUUUUUUUUUUUUUUUUUAAAAUGAAAUCAGAGCUGAUGGAGUUUUGCCCUUCUAAGCUUUUGAGACUUGUGCUCUGUUCUUUUGUCAGGUUUGGUUUAUGGGAGACUAAGUGGCAUCACAAAGCACAUGACAAAGAGUGAUAUUGUCAAAUUGCUUGAGAGUUGUAACCUGGGUCUGAUACAUAUAGCAUGGUUCUCUCUAAAGCUGCCUUCUUUCACAAAAGCACCCGAAUUUUUACUUUGAAUUGUGAAGAUAUUGCAAUGUCUUUCCUCGUUGCAAAUGCAACAAACACUCCUCCCAUUUGGGUAAAAGCUAAUGAUUUAUGGCCACGGCCUUCUUUUCAGUUUUACUUUUCUAAGCUUUCCUAUAAUGCUAUUCUACUUCUAUAAAUGGACAUUUAUUGUUCUCUCCUCGGUUAACUCUGUGCACAAUGUCACAUAUUAUUUACUAAAAAUUUACACUAAAGAGAAACAAGACACCGGAAAACAAUAUCUCAUCUAUCCAAUAUAGUGUUAAGGAGGUUCACAAACUUGUAAAAUUGUGUAGACACAUUGAUCAUAAUUAACUAAAUCACAGAUCAUAUCUACAACCUAUAAUUUGGUUCAUCUUUUGUUAUGACUUGUAGUUGAUGUCAUCUUAUUUAUGCCCUGUAGGACUCCUAUUUUCUAAAACUCAUUUUUCCUGAACUCGUUUCAACCACAUAAUCUCCAAAUAAAAAAGUUUUGCAUGUGGACCCAUAAUUGUUCCCUAGCGGUGUCUUAUUCCUUCAUGGGGGAAAUCUAAAUGCCAAGAACAGGAGAUUAAUCAAACAGUAGUCGUAUCUGCUCUCCUUAUCCACAAAAGUUGUACCUUAAACUACCAGAAUUAGCAUACUAUUGGAAACUUUCAAGAACCUUAACAGAAUUUGGGAACAGUAGCAUGUCAUCGUCCUGACAACUCAUUUUUCUCUGUUG